GUCUGGGUGGCUCAGUCAGUUGAGUGUCUGACUUCGGCUCAGGUCAUGAUCUCAUGGUUCGUGGGUUCGAGCCCCGCAUUGGGCU
rnacentral:tRNA from 1 species